UACGUAGGGGCUAGCGUUAUCCGGAUUUACUGGGCGUAAAGGGUGCGUAGGUGGUUUCUUAAGUCAGAGGUGAAAGGCUACGGCUCAACCGUAGUAAGCCUUUGAAACUGGGAAACCUGAGUGCAGGAGAGGAGAGUGGAAUUCCUAGUGUAGCGGUGAAAUGCGUAGAUAUUAGGAGGAACACCAGUUGCGAAGGCGGCUCUCUGGACUGUAACUGACACUGAGGCACGAAAGCGUGGGGAGCAAACAGGAUUAGAUACCCCUGUAGUCCCUGAG
rnacentral:rRNA from 1 species